GUGGUUAUAACAUAGUCUGGUCUAAUGUGCUAGCUUGCCAUGCUGGAGACAUGGGUUCAAAUCCCAUUAACCACU
rnacentral:tRNA from 1 species